rnacentral:rRNA from 1 species
CACGUAGGGCGCAAGCGUUGUCCGGAAUUAUUGGGCGUAAAGAGCUCGUAGGCGGUCUGUUGCGUCCGCUGUGAAAACUCGGGGCUUAACCCCGAGCCUGCAGUGGAUACGGGCAGACUAGAGGUAGGUAGGGGAGAAUGGAAUUCCCGGUGUAGCGGUGGAAUGCGUAGAGAUCGGGAAGAACAUCAGUGGCGAAGGCGGCCUGCUGGGCUGUUGCUGACGCUGAGGCGCGACAGCGUGGGGGAGCAAACAGG